rnacentral:tRNA from 1 species
AGCGCGGUAGAGCAGAGGCCAGCUCACGAGGCUCAUAUUCUCGAGGUCGGCGGUUCGAGACCGCCCUGCGCUA